rnacentral:rRNA from 1 species
UACGUAGGGACCGAGCGUUGUCCGGAAUCAUUGGGCGUAAAGCGCGUGUAGGCGGCUCGCUAAGUCUUGCGUGAAAUCUCGGGGCUCAACCCCGAGCGGUCGUGAGAAACUGGCGGGCUAGAGUGCGGGAGAGGAGAGUGGAAUUCCUGGUGUAGCGGUGAAAUGCGCAGAUAUCAGGAAGAACACCCGUGGCGAAGGCGGCUCUCUGGGCCAUUACUGACGCUGAGGAGCGAAAGCGUGGGGAGCGAACAGG